rnacentral:lncRNA from 1 species
GGAGGCUGCCCUGGCCAGGGGCCUGCCUCUGACAAGAAAGGAAUGAAAUUCUGAUACAUAUUACAGCAUGAAUGGACCUUGAAAACAUGGUCAGUGAGAUAAGCCAGAUACAAAACUCUCUGGAACUGCUUCCUCUUCAUGCCCUACUCCUCAACCCAAGUGUUUCC